ACUCAGGUAGCUCAACUGGUAGAGUCUUCGGCGCGUAACUAAAUGAUCCGGGUUCGAAUCCCGCUCUGGACU
rnacentral:tRNA from 1 species